UACGGAGGGUCCGAGCGUUAUCCGGAAUCAUUGGGUUUAAAGGGUCCGCAGGCGGUCAAUUAAGUCAGAGGUGAAAUCCCAUAGCUUAACUAUGGAACUGCCUUUGAUACUGUUAGUCUUGAGUCAUUUGGAAGUAGAUAGAAUAAGUAGUGUAGCGGUGAAAUGCAUAGAUAUUACUUAGAAUACCGAUUGCGAAGGCAGUCUACUACGUAUAUACUGACGCUGAUGGACGAAAGCGUGGGUAGCGAACAGG
rnacentral:rRNA from 1 species